GGAGAUCAAAACAUAAUGAAUAUCUCACAUAACACCUAAUUGUUGUAUAGAACUAUAUAUGUGGCCCAUCAUCACAAAACAAUCUAUAUUUUUUUCUCUCAAAAUUGAGUAUGGAUUACAUACCUUUGGAUUUGUAAUCAAACUAUCGUCAAUAUCUAUCAUGAAAUUAUUCGGAUUAAUCCUUCCAACCUGCACUUACCGAAGCAAAAAGAAACAUAUGAGCAGAGUCAAAUUAUGCCUCAUAUAUCAAAGGAAGGCUCUAAACUAUAGUUAACACACUUUAAUAUUUCAAGUUAUAGUAAAAAUUUAAAUAUAUAUAAAGCCAGAUCAAAAUAUGUCAAUAUGCGUGGACACUGUAAUUGUCUAUACCGAGUCGUUCAGGGAGAAGUGAGCCUUAGCUAUAAGUGAGUUGCGCAACUUUUUAAUCAAAACAAGUAUUUACGAUGUAGGAGACUCGCAAGAACAACAUCAUCGAAGUUACGGACACAUCCCCGCAUAGAUCAAGAAGAUGCUCACAUAUCCAAAGAACACAAUCUACAACGUCUACAGCCACUGGAAGGAGGAGAUGCAUAUAAGAGUCAUCGCAGGCCAGAAACGCUCAUUGAAGUCAACUCCUGGUACUCCGAUUAACGUUCUUGCCGAAAAGUGACAAAUAAUCCGUGCAACAGUCUCCUGGACCAUAAACGCUGAUCUGAGGAUGAAGCCAUACCGCUUCUACAAAAAAUAUAUCCUUCCAGACAAAAUGAAGGCCACUCAGGCUGCCCACGGAAGAAAAUCCCUGAAUGAUUUGAAGUCCCUUGGUAAUUGAUUCAUCUAAUAUUCUGAUGAGAAACAAUGGACUUUCUACAGUUACCACACCAUCCAGACAGACAGAUGGUUGGCAGAAGAGAGAGCAGAUGUCCCCCAUGUUUUUAACACCAAGUUUC
rnacentral:lncRNA from 1 species